ensembl:lncRNA
CUUUAUUUAAAAUUUUCUACAUUAUUGUUUAACAUUACACCCAAACUUUUAGCAAGCAGGUGCCUACUUUGUGAAACCGGAUAUUCAGUUCAUCAUCAUUUCUGUACAGAUUUUUUUCUAGGAGUAAAAAAGAGAGGUUUUUAGAAGGAAGAGAGGAUUGUGGAUUAUAAUGAGUCAUGAAGUAGUCUAAGCAAGACAGAGAAGACGACAGAAAGAAGCUCUGCGUGUCAAGAGAGAGAUACAAGUGAUGUGUUAGAGGUCACGUGACAGGAAAGGAUUCUGCAAUGGUAUGACAAUGGAAGGCAAUCGCCAAAGCUGACUGGACAAAAACGUCACUGGAAGUGAAGGCAUUAAGCAGCUAGGCUGGGGGUGCUGGAGUCUCCAAGCAGAAUGAAAGGAGAUGAAGUGAAGAGUCGCACAUCGGAACAUAAGCCAUGUGAUGGACGAGAGGUUGUGAACAGGGAGGAGGAAGAUUGAAACAGUGAGAUGCGACAGUGUAUAGUUAAUAAAUUGGAGAUGAGGUGUUGUGGCAAGAAAUACAACUUUAUUCAGAAAGCCAGAAGACUAAGAAGAUGGCAGACUAAUAUCUCAAAAUCAUCUUAUCGGGGUCUGGAUGCCAGAUUCUUAUAUAGAAGAAAGAGAGAGAGGAGGUGUCCCAUCUGCUGUGAAAUUCUUGGUCCCCUUGGAACUGGCAGGCUAGAAGGAGGGGAUACACAAAUGAGUACGACCUGGCUUUUCUGGAUACGGCCUGGGAUGUGGGAUAUUUAACCCAUAUGUGUUUUCAUCUGCACCUGAUCAAGGCCACCAAGGCAGAAUGGACUUUAAAAGUUAAGGGAGAAACAGUCUUGGAUCACGUGGUGUUCUGGUUUGGCCGUGCUGACCGGCAGGUGAAGACAUGCCGAUCCCCUUUCUCCCUCUGGGAUCUGGCAGAGCCUUGAAAAUGAAGACUAAGUUAAAAUAAGGCUCUAAGAGUGGGCCUUAAUCCAAUGUCACUGGUGACUGUGUGAGAAGAAGAAAUUUGGACAUACAAAGGGACACCAGAAGUAUCUGCUGCAAGAAAAGACCACAUGAAGACACCAUGAAAAGACAGUUAUCUGUAGCCACUAGGAAAGGCUUCAGAAGAAACCAAACCAAUUGACAGUUCAGUCACUCAGUCAUGUCCGACUCCCUGCAACCCCAUGGACUGCAGCACGCCAGGGCUUCCUGGUCCAUCACCAACUCCUACAGCUUGCUCAAACUCAUGUUCAUCAAGUCGGUGAUGCCAUCCAACCAUCUCAUCCUCAACCAAUUGACACCUUGACCUUAAACUUCCCACCUCUGCAACUGUG